UUCUCACUGGGGUGGGUUGGGGAACCAGGACUUUUACUUUGAAAAAAUUAGAGUGUUCAAAGCAGGCCUUUGCUCGAAUACGUUAGCAUGGAAUAAUAGAAUAGGACGUGCGGUCCUAUUUUGUUGGUUUCUAGGACCGCCGUAAUGAUUAAUAGGGACAGUCGGGGGCAUCAGUAUUCAAUUGUCAGAGGUGAAAUUCUUGGAUUUAUUGAAGACUAACUACUGCGAAAGCAUUUGCCAAGGAUGUUUUCAUUAAUCAGUGAACGAAAGUUAGGGGAUCGAAGACGAUCAGAUACCGUCGUAGUCUAACCGUAAACUAUGCCGACUAGUCGU
rnacentral:rRNA from 1 species